rnacentral:rRNA from 1 species
UACGGAGGGUGCGAGCGUUGUCCGGAAUCACUGGGCGUAAAGGGCGCGUAGGCGGGCCGGACGGUCCGGGGUGAAAUCCCCCCGCUCAACGGGGGAACGGCCCCGGACACCGCCGGCCUCGAGGGGGGUAGGGGCGAGCGGAACGCUGGGUGGAGCGGUGAAAUGCGUUGAUAUCCAGCGGAACUCCGGUGGCGAAGGCGGCUCGCUGGGCCCUCUCUGACGCUGAGGCGCGAAAGCCAGGGGAGCGAACGGG